AUUGACUACAUGUUCCUAGUGGGCACAGAGGAGGGAAAAAUCUACAAGUGCUCUAAAUCCUACUCCAGCCAAUUCCUCAACACCUAUGACGCCCACAACAUGGCAGUGGACACUGUGUCCUGGAACCCAUACCACACCAAGGUCUUCAUGUCCUGCAGCUCUGACUGGACAGUGAAGAUCUGGGACCACACCAUCAAGUGAGGGGCCUGUUCCUGGCCCUGCCCUGGGCCCUCCCCUGGGCUAUGGCACUGUGAGCCUUCUGUGCCAUGGGCUUUCCACCCUCCACCUCUGCAGGACCCCGAUGUUCAUCUAUGACCUGAACUCAGCCGUGGGUGAUGUGGCCUGGGCGCCAUACUCUUCUACUGUGUUCGCAGCAGUCACCACAGAUGGGAAGGCCCACAUAUUUGACUUAGCCAUCAACAAGUAUGAGGCCAUCUGCAACCAGCCUGUGGCGGCCAAAAAGAACAGGCUCACCCACGUGCAGUUCAAUCCCAUCCACCCCAUCAUCAUUGUGGGCGAUGACCGUGGGCACAUCAUCUGCCUCAAGCUCUCACCCAAUUUGCGCAAGAUGCCAAAG
rnacentral:sRNA from 1 species